AUUGAACGCUGGCGGCAUGCCUUACACAUGCAAGUCGAACGGCAGCGGGCCUUCGGGUGCCGGCGAGUGGCGAACGGGUGAGUAAUGCAUCGGAACGUGCCAUUGAGUGGGGGGAUAACGUAGCGAAAGUUACGCUAAUACCGCAUAUUCUGUGAGCAGGAAAGCAGGGGACCGCAAGGCCUUGCGCUCUUUGAGCGGCCGAUGUCAGAUUAGCUAGUUGGUGAGGUAAAGGCUUACCAAGGCGACGAUCUGUAGCGGGUCUGAGAGGAUGAUCCGCCACACUGGAACUGAGACACGGUCCAGACUCCUACGGGAGGCAGCAGUGGGGAAUUUUGGACAAUGGGCGCAAGCCUGAUCCAGCCAUGCCGCGUGAGUGAAGAAGGCCUGGUGU
rnacentral:rRNA from 1 species